rnacentral:rRNA from 1 species
AUGCGUAUGUUGAGAUGGAUGUGUGGCCACACGAGGAAGGAUCGAGUCCGGAAUGAUGAUAUACGAGAUAGAGUUGGGGUAGCACCAAUUGAGGAGAAGCUUGUCCAACAUCGUCUGAGAUGGUUUGGGCAUAUUCAGCGCAGGCCUCCAGAAGCUCCAGUGCAUAGCGGACGGCCAAAGCGUGCGGAGAAUGUCAAGAGAGGGCGGGGUAGACCGAAUUUGACAUGGGAGGAGUCCGUUAAGAGAGACCUGAAGGAUUGGAGUAUCACCAAAGAGCUAGCUAUGGACAGGGGUGCGUGGAAG